rnacentral:rRNA from 1 species
UACGAAGGGGGCUAGCGUUGCUCGGAAUCACUGGGCGUAAAGGGUGCGUAGGCGGGUCUUUAAGUCAGGGGUGAAAUCCUGGAGCUCAACUCCAGAACUGCCUUUGAUACUGAAGAUCUUGAGUUCGGGAGAGGUGAGUGGAACUGCGAGUGUAGAGGUGAAAUUCGUAGAUAUUCGCAAGAACACCAGUGGCGAAAGCGGCUCUCUGGGGGCGAUCUGACGCUGAGGCGCGAAAGCGUGGGGAGCAAACCGG